UACGUAGGUGGCAAGCGUUGUCCGGAUUUACUGGGCGUAAAGGGCGUGCAGGCGGUUUGUUAAGUGCAGGGUGAAAGCUCCCGGCUCAACUGGGAGAGGUCCUUGCAUACUGGCAAACUCGAGGGAGGCAGAGGAAAGUGGAAUUCCCGGUGUAGUGGUGAUAUGCGUAGAUAUCGGGAGGAACACCUGUGGCGAAGGCGGCUUUCUGGGCCUUACCUGA
rnacentral:rRNA from 1 species